AUCUAAAUAGUUUAAGAGAAAAUGUUGGUUUGUGGUGCCAACGAUAUAGUUUAUAUUUUGGAUU
rnacentral:tRNA from 1 species